rnacentral:rRNA from 1 species
CAUGCAAGUUGAGCGCUGAAGGUUGGUACUUGUACCGACUGGAUGAGCAGCGAACGGGUGAGUAACGCGUGGGGAAUCUGCCUUUGAGCGGGGGACAACAUUUGGAAACGAAUGCUAAUACCGCAUAAAAACUUUAAACACAAGUUUUAAGUUUGAAAGAUGCAAUUGCAUCACUCAAAGAUGAUCCCGCGUUGUAUUAGCUAGUUGGUGAGGUAAAGGCUCACCAAGGCGAUGAUACAUAGCCGACCUGGGAGGGUGAUCGGCCACAUUGGGACUGAGACACGGCCCAAACUCCUACGGGAGGCAGCAGUAGGGAAUCUUCGGCAAUGGACGAAAGUCUGACCGAGCAACGCCGCGUGAGUGAAGAAGGUUUUCGGAUCGUAAAACUCUGUUGGUAGAGAAGAACGUUGGUGAGAGUGGAAAGCUCAUCAAGUGACGGUAACUACCCAGAAAGGGACGGCUAACUACGUGCCAGCAGCCGCGGUAAUACGUAGGUCCCGAGCGUUGUCCGGACUUAUUGGGCGUAAAGCGAGCGCAGGUGGUUUAUUAAGUCUGGUGUAAAAGGCAGUGGCUCAACCAUUGUAUGCAUUGGAAACUGGUAGACUUGAGUGCAGGAGAGGAGAGUGGAAUUCCAUGUGUAGCGGUGAAAUGCGUAGAUAUAUGGAGGAACACCGGUGGCGAAAGCGGCUCUCUGGCCUGUAACUGACACUGAGGCUCGAAAGCGUGGGGAGCAAACAGGAUUAGAUACCCUGGUAGU